AACAACGGAUCUCUUGGUUCCGGCAUCGAUGAAGAACGCAGCGAAAUGCGAUACGUAAUGUGAAUUGCAGAAUUCAGUGAAUCAUCGAGUCUUUGAACGCACAUUGCGCCCUCUGGUAUUCCGGAGGGCAUGCCUGUCCGAGCGUCAUUG
rnacentral:rRNA from 1 species